CGCCGCGAGCCGCGAUUACCAGAGGUGGUUUGAGCUGCGUCCCGUUGUGAUUAAUUAGUAGGAGUGCGAUACGCAGUGCGAUUCAAGCAUCGUGUCGUGUAAAGUUCCGAGUGCCGGGAGUGCCGUGUAAAGUUUCGGGCGAUCGUAAUUAUAUUUGUUUUCGCGAGUGCCGUGAGUGCUACGAUGGACCAAGAGAGGAGAAGGAGAUCCAGAGAGGCAUCGGGCGACAGCGGGGCAACUGUGAGAUCAAAAUAUGCUGUGUGCUACAACUCCGCUAUCGCAUACUCCGUAUCG